rnacentral:rRNA from 1 species
UACAGAGGAUGCAAGCGUUAUCCGGAAUGAUUGGGCGUAAAGCGUCUGUAGGUGGCUUUUUAAGUCCGCCGUCAAAUCCCAGGGCUCAACUCUGGACAGGCGGUGGAAACUACCAAGCUGGAGUACGGUAGGGGCAGGAGGGAAUUUCCGGUGGAGCGGUGAAAUGCGCAGAUAUCAGGAGGAACACCGAUGGCGAAGGCAGCUCACUGGGACGGUACUGACGCUGAGGCGCGAAAGCGUGGGGAGCAAACAGG